AACCCAAUUCGACAUCCUUGAAAAGGAAUAGGGUUUCCAAAUUUAUCAGUUGAGCUGAGCUUCCCUUUCCUAGUCUUCCUUCACCAUAUUCCUCUUCACUUACCUUCAAUUCAUUCUUCUUUAGUUGUGGGUGAUAAAUAUCAUACCAUUGUUGCUCCAAGUUAAUGAUUCCAGCUUGCAUGAGUGAAAUCUUCAGUACGUUCCCAUGAUUUUUAGUGCUAACACAUUAGUUGUAGCUGGGAUGGAGAUAAUGGGAUGAUCGGACCCAUUGAUAGUAGAAAAGGACCAAGAAGCUCAGUCGGUUGAAUCUGAUUUAACUUGGUGACCCCCAACUUACUAAAAAUCCCUUUUUGUUGGCUGGUGUAAAUAGGCAGAAUAGCCUUUUCACUUUUUUGUUCAACUGCCCUUCUUGUAAAAAUGAUGAAUAUGAAAGAAACUGUUGUAUCCUUUCCAGUCCUAUUAGCCCUUUGCUAAACUUAGUCUUAGAUAGGGACAUUGCUUCUUGUCGCUAUUUAACAUCUUUCUAGUUGCACUUGGUAUCUGGUUGAAUAUUGUAAAUAUGAGUUGUUCAUGCUCAAAUGCUAAGUUAGCUAAGUAAUUUGAGAGUUGGUUUCCUUCCCUGAA